rnacentral:rRNA from 1 species
GACGAACGCUGGCGGUGUGCUUCACACAUGCAAGUCGCACGAGGGGGCAACCCCUAGUGGCGGACGGGUGAGUAACGCGUAGGAAUCUGUCCAUGGGUGGGGGAUAACAGCGGGAAACUGCUGCUAAUACCGCAUGACACCUGAGGGUCAAAGGCGCGAGUCGCCUGUGGAGGAGCCUGCGUCCGAUUAGCUAGUUGGUGGGUAACGGCCUACCAAGGCGACGAUCGGUAGCUGGUCUGAGAGGAUGAUCAGCCACAUUGGGACUGAGACACGGCCCAAACUCCUACGGGAGGCAGCAGUGGGGAAUAUUGGACAAUGGGCGAAAGCCUGAUCCAGCAAUGCCGCGUGGAUGAAGAAGGUCUUCGGAUUGUAAAGUCCUUUCGGUAGGGAAGAUAAUGACGGUACCUACAGAAGAAGCACCGGCUAAACUCCGUGCCAGCAGCCGC